rnacentral:ncRNA from 1 species
AGGGAGCCUGGACAGCUACUAAUAAUACAGAUAGACAGUAGCACAUUUCUUGGGCUCGAGAGCGGGCUGAAAGUGUCCCGCUAGUCCUCCCGCUGUUGGAGGGCAACACCGUCAAAUUGCGGGGAGGCCCUAAAGCUUUGACUACCAAGCCGGCGUGGAAACACAGUCGGUGGCCAGGGUAACGACCUCGGGUAUGGUAAAAACGUCAAAGAUGCACCAAUGGGUUAUCCGCAGCCAAGUCCUAAGGGCAACUCUUUGCCUAUGGAUGCAGUCCACAGACUAGAUGGCGGUGGGUCGGGGGGCGGUGUCCCCCGGCUUGAGAUAUAGUCGGCCCCACCGAGAGGUGGUCUGAGGGAGGAGCYGCGCGCUGUCGCGGUGAGAGCCCUCAGAGUGCUUGGCAUGCGAGUACUUUCGGUCGUGAGGCCGAAAGGGCAGCRUCGUCCCCCGGCGCCGCCUCCGAGCACGGAUUACGCGGAGAAACGGCUACCACAUCCAAGGAAGGCAGCAGGCGCGCA